AUGAACGCUGGCGGCGUGCCUAAUACAUGCAAGUCGAGCGAACGGACGAGAAGCUUGCUUCUCUGAUGUUAGCGGCGGACGGGUGAGUAACACGUGGAUAACCUACCUAUAAGACUGGGAUAACUUCGGGAAGCCGGAGCUAAUACCGGAUAAUAUUUUGAACCGCAUGGUUCAAAAGUGAAAGACGGUCUUGCUGUCACUUAUAGAUGGAUCCGCGCUGCAUUAGCUAGUUGGUAAGGUAACGGCUUACCAAGGCAACGAUGCAUAGCCGACCUGAGAGGGUGAUCGGCCACACUGGAACUGAGACACGGUCCAGACUCCUACGGGAGGCAGCAGUAGGGAAUCUUCCGCAAUGGGCGAAAGCCUGACGGAGCAACGCCGCGUGAGUGAUGAAGGUCUUCGGAUCGUAAAACUCUGUUAUUAGGGAAGAACAUAUGUGUAAGUAACUGUGCACAUCUUGACGGUACCUAAUCAGAAAGCCACGGCUAACUACGUG
rnacentral:rRNA from 1 species